CCAUUCCGGCGCUUGUCAGGAGCCCGGUGAUCGUGU
rnacentral:sRNA from 1 species